rnacentral:lncRNA from 1 species
UUCUUAAACUCUUGAUAUCUGUAAUUGGCAUAUUGACUGUACUUGUCAUAAAAUAAACCUGACCUAAAUGCAGUUACCAAUAUAAAUGUGUUUUCUGUGAUAUAGGAGUGAAAAAUAAAAUCUCCUUUAGAGAUGACACAAAUAUGUAUUUUUGGUCCCUGUUUGUAGGCAGAUGGAAUUAUGUAUGGCAGAUCACUUACCAUGGUAACAUAGAUUAUGACAGCUGAGCCAUUGACUUUUUUAUACUUAAGAUCCAGUGGAAGCCACGGAAAAACUAUAAAAGAUCUCGCCUUCUUGAGGAAGGAACAUCCAGUAAUCCUGUUCUACCUGACAAGUGCUCUGCUCAGCUGGCAUCGAGCUCCUGUUCCGAAGAAAAUAGCCUCAAACCAGGUCUGAAAGGCGGUCUGGACCCACAGCUACACCAUCUGUGACCCCGAAGGUAAUCUCCACAGAGUUGCCUUGUUUGGGUUUACUUGAGUUUCAGAGU